rnacentral:piRNA from 1 species
CAGAACACUUUUGGUUUCAUGUUUGUCAAAC